GAUGAACGCUAGCUACAGGCUUAACACAUGCAAGUCGCGGGGCAGCAUGGGGGUUGCUUGCAAUCCCCGAUGGCGACCGGCGCACGGGUGAGUAACGCGUAUCCAACCUGCCCUUCACCACGGGAUAACCCGGCGAAAGUCGGACUAAUACCGUAUGUUGUCCAUUGACGGCAUCCGAUUUGGACGAAAGGCUGGGCGGUGAGGGAGGGGGAUGCGUCCGAUUAGCCAGACGGCGGGGUAACGGCCCACCGUGGCUACGAUCGGUAGGGGUUCUGAGAGGAAGGUCCCCCACACUGGAACUGAGACACGGUCCAGACUCCUACGGGAGGCAGCAGUGAGGAAUAUUGGUCAAUGGGCGUAAGCCUGAACCAGCCAAGUAGCGUGCAGGAUGACGGCCCUAUGGGUUGUAAACUGCUUUUAUGCGGGGAUAAAGUGGCCCACGUGUGGGCUUUUGCAGGUACCGCAUGAAUAAGGACCGGCUAAUUCCGUG
rnacentral:rRNA from 1 species